AACUGGUCUUAGCUAAGUGGUUACCGCGACAGAAUCGAAAUCUGUUUGUCUUGGACUGUGCAGGUUCGAAACUUGCCAGUUU